GCUCCAGUGGUGCAAUGGGUUAGCACGUGGUACUUAUAAGUUAGUAUUGAGUAAGUGAUGCCAAGGUUGUGAGUUCAAGCCUCACUUGGAGCA
rfam:Alligator mississippiensis ScZkoYb_22, whole genome shotgun sequence.